AAGCUCAUGUGCCGUAGAAAAAAUCUCAUCAUGAAAGAUAAUUGAACUUUUACCAGGCUCGUUUAACUUUGAAUUUCUAACAAAAUGCUCUGUGUUUUCUAUUUUUAAUCUUGUCAUUUCUCUGAUAAAACAAAUGGGGGGUAUGGCGGUAACAGUACGGUCUUGUACAACAUGAUCAAUUCGUGUUGUGCAAAGCAGUUCAAUGUGUGCCUUCGUAACCUCAAAAUGUCCUAAUUACAGUACAUUAUUUGUCUGAAAAACACUUACAGGCCAUGACUGAACUAUUCAAAAUGAAAAGCAGUACGGCGGUAACCGGGCGUGUCUUUUUGUGCUGCGUGACAAUGGUAGUCGUACACUGCUCCGUAAACUAGUUAAUUGUGCACCUCGAGGAGACUGUGUUACUAUUGUAAACAAUUUUGCAACCCGCUAAAUGUAUUACAGGGGAAUCGGCGAUUUUAUUUUGUUUAAGAGGCUGUAUAAUGCUGACCCCUUGCGGCCACUUCGAGAACUGCUAAUCACCGGGCCGGAUAAACUUGACUCUUGACCCAACAUAAUUCCGACAUGGACGUCAAAUGCUUGUGACGACCUCACUCUCCACAUGACCGAACUCGGCGUCGCUUUUCAUACCGGAAAUCUCUGCCGCUCGUAUACUGUACAUUUAGUCACCGCUUGGUCAACCGAACCCUGAAGCUGCUUAGCCUACUUAGCUAACGAAAGUAGCUCAUGCUGCAUGUUUGUAGCGUCCUUCCCCAGCACCACACCCGUCGGGAGUCAACCCGAACCCACUGUUUGAUGGAAGGGUGAGGGGGAAACGAUGCUGUCAUUCCUCCACAUCCUGCUAACGGGUUUGUUAGGGGUUCUGCGGGACAGGGUCACUGCCUUCGACAGGAUCAGACUUGUGAAUGGCGAGAACAAGUGUUCCGGCCGUGUCGAGAUUCUCCGACAUAACCAGUGGGGGACAGUUUGCGACCACGGCUGGGACCUCCGCGAUGCUGACGUGGUGUGCCUGCAGCUGGCGUGUGGCUUGGCAGAGUCGGCCCUCCACGGGGCAGCUUUUGGUAUGGGCAGGGGGCAGAUCUGGCUGAGGCACGUUCAGUGCUCGGGACACGAGUCCAGUUUGACCCGCUGUGCCGUCAUCCUGCAUAGUCACACCCGUUGCACCCAUGAAAAUGAUGCAGGGGUAAAAUGCUCAGGUACCCUUUUCAUGCCCAUCCUCUCACUAUUGUCACCCCACACCGUGUUCUCUUCCGGAGAGGCAGUCCGGUUCAGCUGCAGCGCCUUGUCAGGUCACCACGUCAGCGACUUCCACCUGUACAAGCAUGGAGCGUCCACGCCCGUGGUGACGCAGAGGGCCGAGAUGAGUCAGUCACGGGUGGAGAUGACUGUGUCCGACAUAGACACAUUCCACCAGGGCAGCUAUAGCUGUCGCUACAGGGUCAGAGGCAGCUCGCCUUCUCAGCUGCUCAGCUCUCCGCCCAGCAACUCUGUCAACAUCACUGUGGUGGAACUCCUGACCCCCCAGCACUGGUACAACACAUCCUCUGAAGCCCCGGCUGGUUCCGUCAUCAAGGGCCACAGUUUUAACAUCACAUGCUCCACACCGCAGCCGUACCCUGGAGGCUCCUUUCAGCUGCGACUCAUCCGUCCCAAUGGCACAGUGCGCCACUCUCUGCCUGCCCUCAGACCCUCCGUCACGUUCAACUUCGCCGGUGCUCAGAGCUCAGAUGAGGGCUACUAUUACUGCCUGUAUCGGGUCCAGCUGGGGGGGCGCACCUUUGUCUCCAGAGAGAGCCAGGCUCUGCCCAUAUCUAUAAGAGACCCAGAUCCAGUUCUGAGUCCAGUGAUGAUCAGUUGGCUAGUGUCUGGCCUGACAUUUGUUGUUGCUGUCAUUAUAAUUAUCAUUGUGGCCAAGGUGCUGUGCAACAAGGAGAGGAAACCUUGUGAACUGGAGCGAGAGACCAGAUCCUAAUCAGAAUCAUCUUUAUUUGUCAAGUAUGUCCAAAAAACACACAAGGAAUUUGUCUCCGGUAGUUGGAGCCGCUCUAGUACGCCAACAGACAGUCAAUUGACAGAGAAUACUUUUGGGACAUAAAGACAUUGACAAAAAACAGUCACUGAGCAAUAAAGGGUUGCUCAUUAUCUGGUGUGGAAAACACUUAUGUUGCAUUGUCAAUUAACAAGCGAUGAUGACAUGCAGCCAAGCACAAGGCUGAAUGAAGGUAUGUUGUGCAUGUUAUGUUUCUGUCAUGUGAAUAUUUGUUAUUCUGUAAUAACUGAAAUAAUCUUUAUACUGUCAUGUGAGUAGUGCCACUACACUAAUCCAUAAAACGCCAUCCAGCAUUUAUGAAUUACCGUAAUUUGUCGUGUAUAAUGCGCACCCCCAAAGUUGACCUCAAAAUUCUGGAAAACAUUUCUCUCUAUGUAUAACCUUUUUACAAUGCAUGAGUUUAGUAUUAUCUGUAUUUUGUUAGUUUUUUCAAAGAAUUAUUCUGAAUUUAAGCACUUUAUUUGAACACAUACCUUUUUUACUUGCUCUUAUUUUGAAAUUCACAGCCCUAUUUUUAUUUAGUAAAUGAGAAAACACACAGUUGUACUCAUAUGUUUGAUUACUCAGGCAGAAUUUGUAAGAUGUGUACAAUACUUUAAAGAAAACAUGAAGGACCAGGUGAAACACAUUUAAUUUUAAUGGUAUUCAAAUUAAACUGUCAAGCAUUUCAGAAAAACAUAACCAUAAAGAAAUUAAUUAUGGUUGUAUAUAUAUAUACACACACACAUACAUAUAUAUUAAAAGUUUCACAAAUUGUGCCAAAGUAUGUAAAUUUAUGAGCACAACUGUACAUAUAUGCAGUCAUAUGUACCCCUGUCAUACUGGAAUGAAAGUGUACAGCUUUUUCAUAACCUCUAUGGGGCGAUGCCAUAUUGGAAUGAAAGUGUACAGCUUUUUCAUAACCUCUAUAUGGUGGCAUACAUUUCUAAAAUGUGAAAGUCUUUCAUUUUCUCCUAUACCCAUGUAUAAUGCACACUAUUGACUUUUGAAAAAAAAAUUUGAGGGGGGAAAUGCGCAUUAUACACCAGAAAUUACGGUAAUCUAAUUUUAUUACAUCAUUUUAAUCAUUGCAGUCUAAUGUCAUUUUGUAAACGACUGGGUAUUGUCUUUGGUUUGAUUAUAAAAACCAAACAGGUUUGAUAAAAAUGUAUCUUGUACUGUAUGUCUUACUUGGUAUUUUGCUGUUGAUAGCAUAGAGACUAUGCGUAGGAAAUUAAAACGGAGCUUGGGUUUCUGCUUUUACAACCCUGGGAAGUGGACCGUGCAAGGGCUCUGGCUGUGUCCAUGAGGGAUUCAUGUAGAACCACAGAACCAGUUGGCUUGGUCAGCAAUCCAGAACUACAACCACUUCACCACUGAUUGGAUGGUACAAGGUUUUCACUGUAUUUUAAAUUUCUGUAUCUCCGUAACAUCUGCUAACUAUUACAACACUUGGAGAUGCAGUAUGUUAUGGAAAGUUGACUUAUUACUGUCUGCCCACCCAUGAAGUGUGAAAUUACACAACCAAGUAAUUAUUUUGGUAACUGCCUAUUUCUGAAAAUGUGUCUGUGAGCCAUUCUGAAUUUUGCCUCGCUGUGAGGUAACAGUGCAGCUGAUGUGCAUCACCACCAACCCGAGUUUCUUAGCUCUUGACUUGACAUCGAGGCCGGGCUGAGGCCAGACGGCACAGAAGCACUAUUAUGUCCGUGCCAAAAGGUACGCAGGGUCACAGUGUUAGUACAUUCCACUUAGCUCAUAUCUGUUUGGUGACGUUGUCGACGUGGGGGUCAGGGAGUAUUUGUGUUUUUGUACGGUAUGUGCCAGCACUAGUCAAAACAUGGUACUCUGAUUAAUAUUGCGUUCGUGGAAUAGGAAUUCAACGAAAUAAUUUAUGAAUGUAUGGAGGAUGGUUACAAACAGCAGCCUGGUAAAUAUUGAGUGGCACAGUGGAGCAAAUGAUAAAUUCACAACCUGAAAUUAGAACCUUGGGAUAGGAUUUCUCAGGUUUCCUUUAUUGUAUUGAUUGUACUAAUGCGACGUGAUAGAGGUUUAUUCAGUUACAUAGUGGUUUCCAAGUGUGCAGUACCUAUACAAACCAGCCACAUUACGACUAUUUGCAAUAAAAGAAAAAAAAAUCCAAUACUAGAGCUGUAUUAAAUAUGCUGCAAAGUAAUAUUUAGUUUUGAUUUACACUAUCAGAGGUAUUCAAUUAACAAUGUUUAACUGAACAGCGUCAUAAGAGCUGUACAUUUUGGUUAUCCCAAUAUACUGUAUUAGGAACAACUCUCAUUAUGAGGCAGCAGAGUUGUACAAAUGAAUUCUAGUAAAUUGCCUCUAACAGUUCCAGUCCAGACUGAACAUUACCUAGGUAAAGGCAGAAUUUUAGAUACUGUUCUUGUACUGGGCAUCGUCACACAGUAUCGUGCAGGAGGUCGUAUUGUGAUAGAUGGAUGGUGUACAGUUUAUUAACAACAUAUUAACCCUCGAGGUCACAGCAAACCUGGUGAAUCGGUCAGGAAAAGGCCAAAGUGGGUUUCAAAGUGUGACAACUUUACUUAAUAUAGAACUGCUGGACACAGGGCAGUUUUUAACUCAUGCUAAAUACAACCCCAAUUCUAAUGAAGUUGGGACGUUGUGUUAAACAUAAAUAAAAACAGAAUACAAUGAUUUGCAAAUCAUGUUCAACCUAUAUUUAAUUGAAUACACUACAAAGACAAGAUAUUUAAUCUUCAAACUGAUAAACUUUCCAAUGAAGUUGGGACGUUGUGUUAAACAUAAAUACAAACAGAAUACAAUAAUUUGCAAAUCACGUUCGACCUAUAUUUAAUUGAAUACACUACAAAGACAAGAUAUUUAAUCUUCAAACUGAUAAACUUUGUUUUUCGCAAAUAAUCAUUAACUUGGGACUUUUAUGGCUGCAACAUGUUCCAAAAAAGCUGGGACAUGGUCAUGUUUACCACUGUGUUACAUCACCUUUUCUUUUAACAACAUUCAAUAAACGUUUGGGAAUUGAGGACACUAAUGUGGUGAUAUCCUUUACACAUUGAUGUCAGUUUUUGAUGCAGUGCCGCCUGAGGGAUCGAAGGGCACGGGCAUCCAAUGUUGAUUUUGGGCCUUGCCGCUUACAUGCAGUGAUUUCUCCAGAUUCUCUGAACUUUUUGAUAUUACGGACCGUAGAUGAUGAAAUCCCUAAAUUCCUUGCAAUUGUACGUUGAGGUUACAUUCAAUUAAAUAUAGGUUGAACAUGAUUUACAAAUCAUUGUAUUCUGUUUUUAUUUAUGUUUAACACAACGUCCCAACUUCAUUGGAAUUGGAGUUUUAAAUGAAUGUCCCCUAUUUAUUGCCAUAAGCCUUGCGUGUUACACCCUGCGCCCGAGAUGACUAAAAUAGAGCCAAUGCGUUCAAAGUUAGUGUUCUGGCUCAAUUCAGCAUUAAUGCACAUGUAUUGAGAGCGGCUCCUCGCUCAAGUGGCACGAUGUGACUUUUCAGCAUUUUUUUUUUUUUUUUUAGCAAUCUCCACUAACUUGUGUUCCUGGUUCUACAGAGCAAUGAUUUAUGAUAAAUGUUUUUUGUUUGUUUUGUUGUUUUAAUUUAACCCAUCUAAGCAUCUUGUCAUUUGUGUACAUUGCUGCAUAUAAACAUGUAAAUGUCACUGUGAAUAAAAUGCUAUUGUUGAGUUGAA